rnacentral:misc_RNA from 1 species
GAAAUGCGAUAAGUAAUGUGAAUUGCAGAAAUCAGUGAAUCAUCAAAUCUUUGAACGCACAUUGCACCUUGGGUUUACCCUAAGGUAUGCUUGUCUGAGUGUCACUUUAUUAUCAUUCUUUCUUAACUUUGAGUUAGUGAAAGUCAUGGAUGUGGUUUUCACGAGUGAUCGUGUCAACUGAAACGGAUAGAUUCGAGAACGAAGCAAAUACUAUUAAGUGAGACAAACUGAGUUUAUUAUGAACUAAAGAGUUUCAUGGUAGUGUAAAUGCAUUCGUUUAUUUGAUCGACGCAACAAUAAAAGACAAUUAAUCUUAUUUUGACCUCAGAUCAAGUAACAUUACCCGCUGAAUUUAA